GCGCUUAUUUCAGCAGCACAUAUACUAAAAUUAGAAUGAUACAGAGAAGAUUAGCGUGGUCCCUGCACAGGGAUGACAUGCACAUUUUUGAAAAAAUUAGAAGAGAA
ensembl:snRNA U6 U6 spliceosomal RNA